AUUAAAAAAUAAUGUUGGAAAAUGAAAAAAAAAAUGUCAAUUUUUAUUUAUAACAUAUUUUCUUAUAGUUUCAAUAAAAGAUAAAUGUUGUUAUUAACAAAAAACUAACGUAUUCAAAGAACUUAUUAAAUAUUAAAUGUGAUAACAAACUACUUAGAAGUACUUUGUCAAUUUAUCUUAUAAUUAGUAGAGUAUUCACAAGAAAAUCAGUACUAUAGGCACGUACCUCUAUAAUAAGGCGUUUUAUGUGACAACACAUUUUAAAGACUUCCAAAAUUAAUACUCCGACUCAAUAUCAAAAUGGAAAGAAAAAACAUUGGUUGUGUAUUUAAAGAACUAAAAGACAAUGAUGAUAAUAUUGACGAAUUUUCAAGUGAUGAUGUAAGUUUAGUACUUAUCAGUACUAUUUAGUACUAUGACUGUAUGAGUCAUAGUCCAAAUAGUAAUGUAAAAUAUUGUGUAGGUACUUUGUUGCUUUGUUGGGCUGGUGAAGUAUAACGUAUAUAAAAUGCAUACCUUAGUCUUUUUGAUUAAAAACUAAUUUUUAAUAUUAUUUGUAACCAGGUUUUUUGAAGUGGAAAAUUACUUAUGAAAUACAAUGGGAUAUUUUGGAAAGUUUUAUGUUGAUGAAUAAAGAAAAAUAUUAACUAAAUACAACUGUUUCAAAUGGUAUUAAAAAUAAAU